rnacentral:rRNA from 1 species
GAUGAACGCUGGCGGCGUGCCUAAUACAUGCAAGUCGAGCGAACGGACGAGAAGCUUGCUUCUCUGAUGUUAGCGGCGGACGGGGGAGUAAAACGUGGAUAACCUACCUAUAAGACUGGGAUAACUUCGGGAAACCGGAGCUAAUACCGGAUAAUAUUUUGAACCGCAUGGUUCAAAAGUGAAAGACGGUUUUGCUGUCCCUUAUAGAUGGAUCCGCGCUGCAUUAGCUAGUUGGUAAGGUAACGGCUUACCAAGGCAACGAUGCAUAGCCGACCUGAGAGGGUGAUCGGCCACACUGGAACUGAGACACGGUCCAGACUCCUACGGGAGGCAGCAGUAGGGAAUCUUCCGCAAUGGGCGAAAGCCUGACGGAGCAACGCCGCGUGAGUGAUGAAGGUCUUCGGAUCGUAAAACUCUGUUAUUAGGGAAGAACAUAUGUGUAAGUAACUGUGCACAUCUUGACGGUACCUAAUCAGAAAGCCACGGCUAACUACGUG